rnacentral:antisense_RNA from 1 species
GAAGGGGCGAGGAGCUUUGCAGUUGUGUGCGACUGUGUACAGCUUUGAAUCUGCUGUUAUUAAGUUGCUGGUGCUGAAAUAACACUUAUUAUUUAUGGUCUAACUGAAAUGGGAACACUGGAAACUUCUUUGAAACUGAAGAAAAAAAUGAAAAAGAAGUUUUUACAAUCAAAACUGCCAUGAAGACUGCUUUACCCAAAAUUUUGGUCCACAGCUUUCAUUGAAUUACUUAUCAGGGCAAACAAAGUUUAGCCAUGUGAACACGUUCCAAUUUUGUUAGAAAUAAUUUGGAUCCAGCUAUCUUUAUACAAUGGUGAGUUCGUAUUGCAUCUCAUGGCUAAAAUACUGAGGUAAAGGCUUUUGGAUCUUUGUGUGUGUGUGUGUGCAUGUGACAAAAACAAGCAAUGGGGAAAGGAGUCCCUAUUUAAU